ensembl:lncRNA
UUUCAGGUGAGCAGCAAAGGGACUCAGCCAUACAUAUACUGAUGGAUGUACAUGUAUCCAUUCUCCCCCAAACUCCACUCCCAUCCAGCCUGCCACAUAACACUGAACAGAGUUCCGUGUGCUAAGGUCCUUGCUGGUUACGCAUUUUAAACAUAGCAGCGUGUACAUGUCCAGUAUUCACUGCAGCACUGUUCCCAAUAGCCAAGACAUGGAAGCAACCUAAACGUCCAUAGGCGGAGGAAUGGAUAAAGAAGGUGGUACGUAUGUAUACAAUGGAUUAUUACUCAACCAUUAAAAGGAAUGAUAUAGUGCCAUUUGCAGCAACAUGGAUAGACCUAGAGACUGUCAUACUGAGUGAAGUAAGUUGACAGAGAAGGGGAAGUAUCGUAUGACAUCCCUGGUAUGUGGAAUCUAAAAAGAAAUGAGACAAAUGAGCUUACAAAACAGAAGGAGACUUACAGGCAUAGAGAACAAACUUAUGGUUGCCAGGGGGAAGGAGGAGGGGAAGGGAUAGUUAGGGAGUUUGGGAUGGACAUGGACACACUUUCUUCCUUUUUACAAUACAUCUCCUGCAUUUAUUUAUCUUACACCUGGAAGUUUGGAAGUUUCUACCUUUUGGCCAUCUUCACCCAUUCCAGCUCCCUCCUCCCAUAGGUUCAGGCAACCAUCAUUUGGCCACCUGAUGUGAAGAAAUGACUCACUGGAAAAUACCCUGAUGCUGGGAAAGAUUGAAGGCAGGAGGAGAAGGGGGUGGCAGAAGAUGAGAUGGUUGGAUGGCAUCACUGACUCGAUGGACAGGAGUUUGAGCAAGCUCCGGGAGUUGGUGAUGGACAGGGAAUCCGGGCGUGCUGCAGUCCAAGGGGUCGCAAAGAGUCAGACACCGCUGAAUGACUGAACUGAACUGAUGUGACUUAUUUCAGCUUGCCUGGUGGCUCAGUGGCUUCUGCGAGAUUCGUGAUAAACGUAGCUGGUCUGUGGCGCGCUGUGAGGUGGACCCCAGGGUAAGGGCUGGGAAGCAGGGUUCUGAGCCAGGCCCUUUCCCGAGAAGCCCGCGGAGUGGUGCCCCGGUGGAGGCCUGCUGUUCCCGCAGAUCCACGAGCUCCCGAGCUCCCGGGGCGCCCUGGAGGCGGCGAACUCCGAGGCGGAGUCGUGAACGCACUGACAGUCAUACUCCCUGCAGAGUCCACAUGCCGCAGAGCCCAUCUGGGCAGAGAAGAACAUUCUAACUCCAAGUCAGGAUUUGAUUAUUGAGUGCGAUCUGACCAUUGUUAAUUGCUGAAUUGGGACUGCCUGCAUUUGAAAG